rnacentral:rRNA from 1 species
GUGUCAGCCGCCGCGGUAAUACAGAGGGUGCAAGCGUUGCUCGGAUUUACUGGGCGUAAAGCGUACGCAGACGGUGAGGAAGGUCGGAUGUGAAAGCCCUGGGCUCAACCCAGGAACUGCAUCCGAAACCCCCUCGCUAGAGUAUAGGAGAGGGAAGCGGAAUUCCUGGUGUAGAGGUGAAAUUCGUAGAUAUCAGGAGGAACAUCUGCGGCGAAGGCGGCUUCCUGGCCUAUUACUGACGUUCAGGUACGAAAGCGUGGGUAGCAAACAGGAUUAGAUACCCUGGUAGUCCACGCCGUAAACGAUGAGUGCUGGAUGUCGGGGGUAUUCACCCCCUCGGUAUCGAAGCCAACGCGAUAAGCACUCCGCCUGGGGAGUACGGCCGCAAGGUUGAA